UACGUAGGUGUCGAGCGUUGUCCGGAUUUAUUUGGGCGUAAAGAGCCCGCAGGCGGCUUGGCAAGUUUGAGGUGGAAUCUCCCGGCUCAACUGGGGAGGGUGCCUUGAAAACUGCUGAGCUUGAGGCAGGGAGAGGGAUGUGGAAUUCCAGGUGUAGUGGUGAAAUGCGUAGAUAUCUGGAGGAAUACCGGUGGCGAAAGCGGCAUCCUGGACCGGCAUUGACGCUGAGGAGCGAAAAGCUAGGGGAGCAAACGGGG
rnacentral:rRNA from 1 species